UACGGAGGGGGCAAGCGUUACUCGGAUUUACUGGGUGUAAAGGGCACGUAGGCGGUCCGAUAAGCCCCGCUUUAAAGGCUUCGGCUCAACCGGAGCAUGUAGCGGGGGACUGUCAGACUUGAGGACUGGAGAGGCAGGCGGAAUUCCCGGUGUAAGGGUGAAAUCUGUAGAUAUCGGGAGGAACACCAGUGGCGAAGGCGGCCUGCUGGCCAGUAUCUGACGCUGAGGUGCGAAAGCUAGGGGAGCGAACAGG
rnacentral:misc_RNA from 1 species